GAUCAGAGUUGAGCGGGUUUAAAUAAUCGCUCACACGUGUGACAGCGGCGCUCGCGGUCCUCACGUCCUGUGCGUCCUCCGCGCGCAUGACGUCACCGACGUCUCGAGCUGUUUGUUCUGGAUUGUGGGAGAGAAAGAGCCCGCGCGCCCUCACAACAAAAUAAAGAAGUAGCGUGAUCGGCGUAAUCUGUGUCUGAGCCGGUGACUUCUCUCUGGACGGCGUGAAAGCAGCUCUUCUGCUGAGUGCUCUUGGAGAAGAUGUGUGCGCUCAGAUAAGAGACUCUUCACACAAGAGACAAAAAAGUCUUUAAAAAUCCUGCAGAAACCCUGUCCAGAGAACAUGUCUACUGCUGUGAGUGUGUUCACGUCGAGUGUUUGCAGUGCUGCGGCUGUAUGACAGGAGACAGAGGGGGGUCAAGGUGUCUGUUGGCGCUCUUGUGUGCCAGCGUAUGGCUACUGUGUCAUCGCAGGGCACAUCGCCCCAAACGACAGAUGGGAGGGGUUCUGUCCCGUGUGCCACGGGAGGCUUACGUUUGGAGCAGAUGGAGAGAGGAGAGCUCUUUUUGUGUGUGUGUGUGGGUCCUCUUCAUUUCACUCAAUGGGUUACAUGAAAGCCUUUCAUUGUUCUGUUUUUUGUCUGUCCUGUACUUCCCUCUUUUCUUCAUGGGCUCACUCUCACCUGCUCUAGCCUUUGUACUCCUCCCUGAUGCAGGCAAACACACACACACACACACACACACACGCACAGAGCAGAUUACUUGUCCCUGUUCUCUCCAGCCAGGUCCCUGUUGGCUCGGGCUUCUCAAACGUUCAGAUGAUUAAUGGGCUCAGAAUCUGAAGGCGCUCACCGCCGCCGCCUCAUCCAUUCCUCCCAUCCCCCUGCUUCUCCUCUUUCUCCCCCAAACCCAUCUAUGUUUGAUUGCAGGAUCUCUCACACACACACAGAGCCACCAAAUGCUGGUGAGGGUCGUCCCAGCCUCUCAGAGUUGUGCUUUGUCACUCGGGCAGCUGCUGUAUUGUCUCGGGCGGUGUUGGGGAAGGCAUGUGCUCUCCGGGUGGAGGGAUUGCCGCGGUUUGGCCAGGCUGUGGCGCGCUGCUUCAGAGUGCUUCCUGACAGAAUGUGAAAUUGGAGGAUGUCUCUUCCUCCCCCCAGCCAUAUAUACACAGCCCGAAGACACAGAAAACACAGAUCUCAUGCACACACACUUAAAGGAGUGGUGGAGUCCAGUGAUGGGGCAGUAAAAGUGAGUGCAGAUGGUCAGGCCUGGAUAGAGGUUUACCUGGAAUGUGAGCGGUUGAGGUCAAAGGUCAGAGUUCCUGUCCCCUCUGGCAGACAGGAAGCACUGUUUGUACAAGUCUUGGUUUACUUAUAAGGGCCAAAUGUACCUCAUGUGAAAUAUCUUGAAAACUGACUUGUUUAUAUUUUUCAUAAAAACGUGCACAACUGUUUUCAGCAUUGAUACUGAAUGUUUCACGAGCAGCAAAUCAGCAUGUUUGAAAUGAUUUCUAAAGGAUCACGUGACACUGAAUAUUGGAGUACUUAUGCUG